CUACCAAGACAGUGACGGUUGACGGGGAAUCAGGGUUUGAUACCGGAGAGGGGGCCUGAGAGAUAGCUCCCACGUCCAUGGACGGCAGCAGGCGCGAAAAUUGCCCACUCUUUGUAGGAGGCAGUUAUGAGAUGUGAAAAUGAUUAUUCAGUAAAGAUGAAUAGGAGAAUUGGAGGGCAAGUUUGGUGCCAGCCGCCGCGGUAAUACCGACUCCAAGAGUGUGUAUGAGAGAUGCUGCAGUUAAAAAGUCCGUAGUCAUAGAAAUUUAAAUAGGGAUGUGAAGUCUUGUUAUUUAGUGAUAGAAAAACCGAUGGGGAACAUAGUAUACCAGGGCGAGAGAUGAAAUGCCAAGACCCCUGGUGGACUAAGCGAGGCGAAAGCGAUGUUCUUGUAGGUAUUUGAUGAUCAAGGACGAAGGCUGGAGUAUCGAAAGUGAUUAGAUACCGCAGUAGUUCCAGCAGUAAAAGAUGCC
rnacentral:rRNA from 1 species